CCUACGGGGGGCUGCAGUGAGGAAUAUUGGUCAAUGGGCGAGAGCCUGAACCAGCCAAGUCGCGUGAGGGAGUACUGCCCUAUGGGUUGUAAACCUCUUUUGUCGGGGAGCAAAAGCCGGACGUGUCCGGCUGUGAGAGUACCCGAAGAAAAAGCAUCGGCUAACUCCGUGCCAGCAGCCGCGGUAAUACGGAGGAUGCGAGCGUUAUCCGGAUUUAUUGGGUUUAAAGGGUGCGCAGGCGGAUUUUUAAGUCAGCGGUAAAAUCGUGGGGAUCAACCCCAUCCAGCCGUUGAAACUGGGGAUCUAGAGUGUGCGAGAGGUAUGCGGAAUGCGUGGUGUAGCGGUGAAAUGCAUAGAUAUCACGCAGAACCCCGAUUGCGAAGGCAGCAUACCGGUGCACAACUGACGCUCAGGCACGAAAGCGUGGGUAUCGAACAGGAUUAGAUACCCCUGUAGUC
rnacentral:rRNA from 1 species